GAUGAACGCUGGCGGCGUGCCUAAUACAUGCAAGUCGAGCGAACAGACGAGGAGCUUGCUCCUCUGACGUUAGCGGCGGACGGGUGAGUAACACGUGGAUAACCUACCUAUAAGACUGGGAUAACUUCGGGAAACCGGAGCUAAUACCGGAUAAUAUAUUGAACCGCAUGGUUCAAUAGUGAAAGACGGUUUUGCUGUCACUUAUAGAUGGAUCCGCGCCGCAUUAGCUAGUUGGUAAGGUAACGGCUUACCAAGGCAACGAUGCGUAGCCGACCUGAGAGGGUGAUCGGCCACCCUGGAACUGAGACACGCUCCAGACUACUACGGGAGGCAGCAGUAGGGAAUCUUCCGCAAUGGGCGAAAGCCUGACGGAGCAACGCCGCGUGAGUGAUGAAGGUCUUCGGAUCGUAAAACUCUGUUAUUAGGGAAGAACAAAUGUGUAAGUAACUAUGCACGUCUUGACGGUACCUAAUCAGAAAGCCACGGCUAACUACGUG
rnacentral:rRNA from 1 species